rnacentral:lncRNA from 1 species
UUCCUAUGUUUGAUUAGGUGAGUAUAUUGUGAUUUUAAUUAACCUAAAAUUCUUUUCUUUUUUUUAAGAUUUUAUUUAUUUGACAGAGACAGACAGCCAGCACGAGAGAGAACACAAGGAGGGGGAGUGGAAGAGGAAGAAGCAGGCUCGCAGCGGAGGAGCCUGAUGUGGGGCUCAAUCCAGGAACGCUGGGAUCACGCCCUGAGCCGAAGGCAGACGCUUAACGACUGCGCCACCCAGGCACCCCAAUUUACCUAAAAUUCUUAUUUCAAAGUGUUUACUUGGCUUCUGUGGCAUUAAGAAUUAACAGGAGUUGCAGAGUUCUCUUCUUUAAAAUUUCAGCCAGCCCAGAAUUGGCAUGGAUUGUAUCAAAGACACAAACUUCAUCCCAGAGUGAUUACAGUAACAGCUUACAAAAAUGGAUCUAGAACAGUCUUUGCCAAAGUUACAGUACCAACCAUCGCCUUGUUGCUGGAGGAGUGCACAGAAAAGCGAAUCUGAACAUGGCCGCUCGAGGAGUGUUCUUGGCAGACGGCAGUGAAGCCCUCAAACCUGAAGAUACACCCUGUGAAGCCGACGUUUAUGUUUCAACAGGAGAGCCCUUUUUAGAUCCAUUCAAAAAAAUUAAAGAAGUAUUUUUUUUCUGCAACUGCUACAAAGCUGGUGAACCAAGGACAAGUCUAGACAGUAAUUGCAUACAUGGAAGAGAAGUAAUUAUGGAGUUCAUUACAGAUUAGGUUUUAGAUACUUGCACAAUGAGAAUGAACCUAAAUUCGCCAGCCAGAUAUCUUUAUGAUUUGUAUGGCAGAACAAUUAAAGAUAUUUCAAAAGGUAAGUGACAAAGAUUUUAUUAACUCUAUGAUAACAUUUCAAAAGGCAUUACAUAAUUUUGUUUUUACUUUGUAUAUUUAAAAGGAAAACAGCUAUAAUAAAAGUGUAGUUUUAACAUGUCUAAAUAUGUCA